rnacentral:lncRNA from 1 species
GUAACGACAAAUUCGAAUUCGUUCCAUUUCGUAUUGUUGCCGACGCCAUCUUGGAAUUUUAUGCUUUCCGGAAAUUGCGAGUUCUUUUUCCCUCCAUUUUAACAUUUUUCGUAGAAAUUUUAAUAAUGAAAACUCUCGUAACGAAGAAGUAUCAUUAUCAAGUUUUAUAAUCCACUUUCCAAAGAGACAUGGAAUCAUUUUACAAACUUCUUGUGCUCAAAAAAUUAACAAGAAGCAAAAACAAAGAUUUAACUGAUUGUGAGCACUUAAAACCAGGAGUUGUGUGACAUCAUUUAGGCUUCUGACAUACCAAUAGAGCAGCUAUGUGACAUGUAUGUAUGAAAAUUACUUUGUGGAUAAUCAACUCAAUGGUUAUCUGCUCCACACACCUUCCUUUAGAAAAUGUUGAUAUUGAACUUUGUCACUGCAAUCUUUUAACAAACAUUUCCAUUAUGACAAAGAGCAUGCAACAUUUUCUUCUAUAAAUGGUCAGUGAACUACUUUACUUUACUUUUAUAUUCCCGGGACCAUUUUAAUUUUAAAUUUUGUAAAAAUUGGCAUUCAGAGUUUGAUUUGUCUUGAUGUUCAUUUUGGAUUAAUUAGCCCUAUGUUAAUUAAGCACAAUAAAAUUAGGUUCAAAUUUUCUUUAUCAUAUUUAAUGUAAUAGAGAUAACUGUAAAAGCAGAUUAUAAAUUAUGAAUUAUUGUAAAAUUUAUAUUUUAAAUAAA